rnacentral:rRNA from 1 species
AGCGAACGCUGGCGGCAGGCCUAACACAUGCAAGUCGAACGAAGCCUUCGGGCUUAGUGGCGGACGGGUGAGUAACACGUGGGAACGUACCUUUUGGUUCGGAAUAACGCAGAGAAAUUUGCGCUAAUACCGGAUGAGCCCUUCGGGGGAAAGAUUUAUCGCCGAAAGAUCGGCCCGCGUUGGAUUAGGUAGUUGGUGUGGUAAAGGCGCACCAAGCCUACGAUCCAUAGCUGGUCUGAGAGGAUGAUCAGCCACACUGGGACUGAGACACGGCCCAGACUCCUACGGGAGGCAGCAGUGGGGAAUCUUGCGCAAUGGGCGAAAGCCUGACGCAGCCAUGCCGCGUGAAUGAUGAAGGUCUUAGGAUUGUAAAAUUCUUUUACCAGGGACGAUAAUGAUGGUACCUGGAGAAAAGGCCCCGGCUAACUUCGUGCCAGCCGCCGCCGUAAUAC